GUUUUGUUGUAAUCCAGAAAUCUUAAAUUGUCACUCUCUAAUGGAACAAGAAAUGGGUAUUCUAAAUUCAUAAAGAUUUAUAAACAUUCACUGCUGCCAGCUGACAGAUAUAUGCAUCACCUGCGGUUUUCUCAUUCUUCAGUUCUCUCCUAUGAGCCAUGGGAAAAUGAUGUUCUUGCACCCUUCCUGCAGGGGUGAGAAAUCUUAAGAAGGUCAAGUUAGAGAGUCUAAGUGAACUGGAUGACUGAAAAUGAACCAGCGGGGAAGAACAAACCACUUAAUUUGAUAAAUCACGACACAAAAAUAUUGCACAGGAGAUUCCAUUGUGGAUCAUUACUUGCCUUGUGUUUGACAGGGUAGGCACUGGAUGGUUUUAUUGUAGGGCCCAGGACCUGUUGUGUGGCAUCAGAGUAAUGUAAAAUAUUCUGGUUUUGAAUAGUCAGUCCAAGACAAAGGGGUUGUCAGAAAACACUUUUUCUUCCUCAGGGGAGAAGCUGAUGUUUUAUUACAAAAAGCAAUACCCUCCACCCAUACGGAAGCAACACAUAAACCUCUUAAAACUGCAUUUUGGGAUACUGCCUGCAAAGAAGAAAGUUAGCAUUCAGUCCUGAAAAUGAUGUCUCAAAGGACUAUUUCAGCUGCAGAUGUCCUUUUAGGCUCCAUAAUUCAUCCUGUAUCUGGUCCCUCUGCAGACACAGGUGGAAGUAAACUGUGCUCAGUCCAGUCCCAGGAUAGAAAGGGCAGUUGUCACUGGGAUGAUGCCUACAGUGAGACAUGCACAAUUAUCCCUACCUUCAUAUCUGUUCUUGUCCAUAAAUAACUUGCAUCUGCUUUGCUUGAAAAAUCAUUUGUAAUUAUUCUUCCUCUGGCUGUGAGUGCUAUAAUUGUUAAUCAAUCUUCAUUUUCAUGUGGUGAUCUGUAUUUUCUUCCUGGCUAAUAUUUUAAAUGGAUAUUGUAUUGUUUUGUAAUUAUUAAUAAUGAUAUUGUUAUUUGAACAUGAUGAUUAUGAUUAGAGGUAAAUGCAAUUUCCCAAUGGAAAAUUAUUAAGCUAAAAAUACCACUUCAUCAAUUUAUAUAAUUUAUGGGGACAUCUUUGCAAUGAACUCAAAAAGUGAUAUUUCAAAGUAAAGUAAAGAAUCUAUAUUCCAGGAUACUGAGAAGCAUAAGCCUCCUUUUAUUGUCAUAAGUACACAAGAAUAAUUAAGUGAGCUAUUUGAAGAAUAGGUUACUGGUCAUUCUUUGGAUCAUUGAUAAAGAUUCAUGUUUCUUAUUGAAUAAAAUAUGUUUCUUAAGGAAGGGAACUGUAGGU
rnacentral:lncRNA from 1 species